rnacentral:rRNA from 1 species
GACGAACGCUGGCGGCGUGCUUAACACAUGCAAGUCGAACGGAAAGGCCCUGCUUUUGUGGGGUGCUCGAGUGGCGAACGGGUGAGUAACACGCGAGUAACCUGCCCUUGACUUUGGGAUAACUUCAGGAAACUGGGGCUAAUACCGGAUAGGAGCUCCUGCUGCAUGGUGGGGGUUGGAAAGUUUCGGCGGUUGGGGAUGGACUCGCGGCUUAUCAGCUUGUUGGUGGGGUAGUGGCUUACCAAGGCUUUGACGGGUAGCCGGCCUGAGAGGGUGACCGGCCACAUUGAGACUGAGAUACGGCCCAGACUCCUACGGGAGGCAGCAGUGGGGAAUAUUGCACAAUGGGCGGAAGCCUGAUGCAGCAACGCCGCGUGCGGGAUGACGGCCUUCGGGUUGUAAACCGCUUUCGCCUGUGACGAAGCGUGAGUGACGGUAAUGGGUAAAGAAGCACCGGCUAACUACGUG